rnacentral:rRNA from 1 species
AACGAACGCUGGCGGCAUGCCUAACACAUGCAAGUCGAACGAGACCUUCGGGUCUAGUGGCGCACGGGUGCGUAACGCGUGGGAACCUGCCCUUAGGUUCGGAAUAACUCCCCGAAAGGGGUGCUAAUACCGGAUAAUGUCUUCGGACCAAAGAUUUAUCGCCUUUGGAUGGGCCCGCGUUGGAUUAGCUAGUUGGUAGGGUAAAAGCCUACCAAGGCGACGAUCCAUAGCUGGUCUGAGAGGAUGAUCAGCCACACUGGGACUGAGACACGGCCCAGACUCCUACGGGAGGCAGCAGUGGGGAAUAGUGGACAAUGGGCGAAAGCCUGAUCCAGCAAUGCCGCGUGAGUGAUGAAGGCCUGAGGGUUGUAAAGCUCUUUUACCCGGGAUGAUAAUGACAGUACCGGGAGAAUAAGCGCCGGCUAACUCCGUG